AAAUCUUCCAAUAUUUUCACGCUCUCGAACGAAGAAACACUCUCACGAAAAUCGAAAAAGAGGACGAAUAACUCUACUCUCUCUCUCCUUCCUCUCUUUCUCUCUCUCUCCUCUCCUCUCUUUUUCUCUCUUCUCUCUUUCUAUCUUCUGAUUUUUCUCUUUUCCCUCACGAAAA
rnacentral:ribozyme from 13 species